UACGUAGGGUGCAAGCGUUGUCCGGAAUUAUUGGGCGUAAAGAGCUCGUAGGCGGUUUGUCGCGUCUGCUGUGAAAACUCAGGGCUUAACCCUGAGCCUGCAGUGGGUACGGGCAGACUAGAGUGUGGUAGGGGAGAUCGGAAUUCCUGGUGUAGCGGUGGAAUGCGCAGAUAUCGGGAGGAACACCGGUGGCGAAGGCGGUUCUCUGGGACGGUACUGACGCUGAGACGCGAAAGCGUGGGGAGCGAACAGG
rnacentral:rRNA from 1 species